rnacentral:tRNA from 2 species
GGAGGAGUACCCAAGUGGCUGAAGGGGACGGUUUGCUAAAUCGUUAGUUCGGGGAGACCUGAAGCGGGAGUUCGAAUCUCCCCUCCUCCGCCA